rnacentral:rRNA from 1 species
CNCCAGUGGCGAAAGCGGCUCUNUGGUCUGUCACUGACGCUGAGGCUCGAAAGCGUGGGUAGCGAACAGGAUUAGAUACCCUGGUAGUCCACGCCGUAAACGAUGAGUGCUAGGUGUUAGGCCCUUUCCGGGGCUUAGUGCCGGAGCUAACGCAAUAAGCACUCCGCCUGGGGAGUACGACCGCAAGGUUGAAACUCAAAGGAAUUGACGGGGGCCCGCACAAGCGGUGGAGCAUGUGGUUUAAUUCGAAGCAACGCGAAGAACCUUACCAGGUCUUGACAUCCCGAUGCUAUUCUUAGAGAUAGGAAGUUACUUCGGUACAUCGGAGACAGGUGGUGCAUGGUUGUCGUCAGCUCGUGUCGUGAGAUGUUGGGUUAAGUCCCGCAACGAGCGCAACCCUUAUUGUUAGUUGCCAUCAUUAAGUUGGGCACUCUAGCGAGACUGCCGGUAAUAAACCGGAGGAAGGUGGGGAUGACGUCAAAUCAUCAUGCCCCUUAUGACCUGGGCUACACACGUGCUACAAUGGUCGGUACAACGAGUUGCGAGCCGGUGACGGCAAGCUAAUCUCUGAAAGCCGAUCUCAGUUCGGAUUGGAGGCUGCAACUCGCCUCCAUGAAGUCGGAAUCGCUAGUAAUCGCGGAUCAGCACGCCGCGGUGAAUACGUUCCCGGGCCUUGUACACACCGCCCGUCACACCACGAGAGUUUGUAACACCCGAA